rnacentral:rRNA from 1 species
UACGGGGGGAGCAAGCGUUGUUCGGAUUUACUGGGCGUAAAGGGCGCGUAGGCGGCCACCGCAAGUCGACUGUGAAAUCUCCGGGCUUAACCCGGAAAGGUCAGCCGAUACUGCGGGGCUAGAGUGCAGAAGGGGCAACUGGAAUUCUCGGUGUAGCGGUGAAAUGCGUAGAUAUCGAGAGGAACACCUGCGGCGAAGGCGGGUUGCUGGGCUGACACUGACGCUGAGGCGCGAAAGCGUGGGGAGCGAACGGG